AGCAUACUGCCGUGAAUACGUUCCCGGGCCUUGUACACACCGCCCGUCACACCAUGAGAGUUGGGAAUACCCGAAGCCUGUGAGCUAACGUAAGAGGCAGCAGUCGAAGGUAGAAUCAAUGAGUUGGGGUGAAGUCGUAACAAGGUACC
rnacentral:rRNA from 1 species